rnacentral:rRNA from 1 species
UACGUAGGGGGCAAGCGUUGUCCGGAAUUAUUGGGCGUAAAGAGCGUGUAGGCGGUCCGGUAAGUCAGCUGUGAAAGUCAAGGGCUCAACCCUUGAAUGCCGGUUGAUACUGUCGGGCUAGAGUCCGGAAGAGGCGAGUGGAAUUCCCGGUGUAGCGGUGAAAUGCGCAGAUAUCGGGGGGAAGGCCGGCGGCGAAGGCGCCAUUCUGGGAAAUUCCUGACACUGAGGCACGAAAGCGUGGGGAGCAAACAGG